rnacentral:snRNA from 1 species
GCAUGUGAGGGUGAUCUGGCUGCAACAUCCGCUACCCCAUUGGCCUCCAGGAUCGAUCCAGCUGGUCUGGCUGGCGAGGUCGUGUCCCCCUCCUCCCUCACCGCUCCAUGGGUGUCCCUCUCAUGGCUGUGGGCUCUGUUGAAGGGGGCUACAUUCUGUUAUAUGAGUAGCUGUGCUUCCCUGCUAGACCCUCCAAAAGAGCUAUCAAGAAAAGAGGAAAAUGCAAUAGUGGAAAAUUCAUAUCACUGAUAUGCCAAAAACAAGUAUAGCUAUACUAU